rnacentral:lncRNA from 13 species
GCAGACGCCGAGAUGGCCACGCGGGAGCCCCCGUAUGAGCCCCAGCCCGGCUCCUGGUCCAGGAAUGACCCAGGAAGAGGCCCUCAGCAGCAAGGGCACAGAGCCGCUGGCGAGGCCCUCCCAAUGGCGCAUGGACUUCCGCAAGAGCCUAACAGGCACCCGUAUUCAGUCCGUCACGGAAACAACCACUUCACCCUUUCUAGGAGGACAGCACGAACGGUCCGCGGAGGACCAGCGCAUGCGCACAGUGCCUCGGGAACUGCCUUGCGCAUUCCGUCGCCUUCCUCCUGGCCCGCCCUCUUGCUUCAGGUUUGGAAUUCAAAAUUAGGCUCGCAGGUUAAAGAUUUUGCCAGGACUAACCCCACUGAGACAUAUGACUCAUGA